UACGUAGGCAGCGAGCGUUGUUCGGAGUUACUGGGCGUAAAGGGUGCGUAGGCGGUUGUUUAAGUUUGGUGUGAAAUCUCCCGGCUUAACUGGGAGGGUGCGCCGGAAACUGGAGUGCUUGAGCGCGGGAGAGGAAAGCGGAAUUCCUGGUGUAGCGGUGAAAUGCGUAGAUAUCUGGAAGAACACCAAAGGCGAAGGCAGUGUCCUGGGUGGUACCUGACGCUGAGAAGCGAAAGCCAGGGGAGCGAACGGG
rnacentral:rRNA from 1 species